CUUUCCUCCUGUCCUAAAUGGUGGCUGAUUGUUACUCUGUGUGUUGCUAAUAGCUGUUAAAGUGCACCCUGGAGACCCCUGAAUCCAGCAAGGGAAGAAAUGUCUAUCACAAACAAUUUGCCAUCUCACUUUCUCAAAGUUUUUUUUCCUUCUAAAAGGGAAAAUGAAAAGCUGGAACUUGAUUAUGAACAACAAGGGUUUCCUUACAGCCAGGAUUGUUCAUGAAGCCAAAAUGGGAAGUACUUGAAGCUCUACCUAACCUAGUCCAACCCCUUGCAAUGCAGGAAUCUCAGCUGAAGCAUCCCUGACAAAUGGCCAUCCAACCUCUGCUUAAACACCUGCAUGGAAGAAGAGUCCACCGCCUCUCGAGGGAGUCAGUUCCAUUGUUGAACAUCUCUUACUGUCAAAAAGUUCUUCCUGAUGUUUAGUUGGAAUCACCUUUCUUGUAAUUUGAAGCCAUUGGUUUGAGUCCUACCAAGCAAAGCAGGAGAAAACAAGCUUCCACGUGACAGCCCUUGAGAUAUUUGAAGAUGGCUAUCAUAUCUCCUCUCACUCUCCUCUUUUCCAGGCAAUACCCAGCUCCUCCAACAUUUCCUCAUAAUGCUUGGUUUCUAGACCCUUGAACAUCUUGGUUGCUCCCCUCUGCACAUGUUCCAGCUUGUCAACAUCCUUCUUAAACUGGGGUGCCCAGAACUGGACACAGGACUCCAGGUGGGGUCUGGCCAAGGCAGAAUAGAGUGGACUAUUACUUCCCUUGAUCAUGACAUUAGAGUUCUGUUGAUGCAGCUCAGAAUUGCAUUAGAAUGAGCAUAGAAACCCACACAAUCCUUCUUUGGGGGGGCAUUCAGUUCCAAAAUGAGUGACCAUUGCCAACUGAAGAAAACAAGCAGGGCCCCUUAACAACAUAUGGGGCCCUGCUCCAUGUUCCCACACUAAUAGAAGUGUGGUGGAUGUCCAUGAGAACAGGUGCUUUUGGUAGAGACACAAACUCUAUUAAAUAGCCUUCCUAGAGAAACUUCUUCUGGCCUCAAAGCCGAGUAUUUUGGGAUGCCUGAAAAACUAUGCUGCAAAAUUCAGGAAAGUGUGAAUUUAAAAAGAUGGCUGUGUCUUGGUUCCCAUAUCGUUUUGGAAUGUGUUGAUUUUUUUAAAAAAUGGCUUUAAAUUUAACUAAAUCAAAUUUCUCCCUCAUUCCUAGAAUAAAAUGUGCUCACAGAAAACUUUUGUGAGAAAGAAAUAUAUUUACAUAUAUUUGACUGGUUUUCAUAAUAAAGUCUGAACACAGGAUUUGAGUUCACAGAAUAUAAUUUUUUUCAGUGAGAAAUGUUGAAGCUAUCUGCUUUACAGAAUAUUCUGUUUGACCAUUCAGAUCAGGCACAUCUCAAAAGCAAUUUUAUCUGGAUUUAAUUGUCUAAUUCUCAAAUCACUUUCCCCCUAAGAAUUUAUGAAAGUGGUGUUUUUUUUACAAGAGUUCAUCUUUAUUCUUUUGUAGAUGAUGGCAUAGAUAAAUCCGUAAGCCCUCUGACACUGAAGUAAUGUCUUUCAUAGUGUGAAAAGAUGGAAAGAGUUAUUUCUUAAAUCUACGACCUUGCUAUCAGAGAGUCCCAGUCAUUUUCUGCAGUGAAUCUUUUUUAAAAAGUUGUCCUUUCAUUAUUCCUUUAAAGACUUUUUCCUGAACUCAAAUUAAUUAUACUUGCAAAGCACAGUGAUGGCUCUAUCAGGAAAGAGUAACACUUGCAUUUCCCUUCUAUUUAAUCCAAACCUAUCAAUGCCCAAAUGGGCACAAUAUGCUAAAACCCCUGAAUAAUGGACACAUGAAUUACUCAUGCAAGGAAUUUGAAAUGCCUUACAAUUCGCUCAUAUCUACCAUAAUUAUUUACAACAGAAAACAUAAUGGAAAUGUAUUCAGCAACAUCAGUGAUGGCACAUCAAAUAUAUGUGGAAAAGGGAGAUCAUUGGGGGCAGAACAUAUUGAUACAAUAUGAGGUAACAGUGAGAGGUUUACAUUAGAGCCCAACUGUUUCUUUUCUCAUAGAGACUUUCUUUAUACUGAACUGGGGAAAAAAGAAUUAUGGGUUAUAGAGAACACAGGAAAAUGAAAACCAGCUGUGGUACUAAAAAAUACAACAAAUAUCAUUUCAAAAAGCAAAUGAGAUUGGGGCAUGCUGCAAAAAACACUCAUUCAAUGGUAGGGGGUAUUACAUAGUUAAGGCCAGAGCAUAUUUGUGUUAAAUUUUAUAUAUCCAUUUUUUGAACAUUAUUUAGCCCAACCUAUAGCCUAAAAAGGGAAGUGGGUGGCACUGUGGGUUAAACCACAGAGUCUAGGA